UACGUAGGGUGCAGGCGUUAAUCGGAAUUACUGGGCGUAAAGCGUGCGCAGGCGGUGAUGUAAGACAGAUGUGAAAUCCCCGGGCUCAACCUGGGAACUGCAUUUGUGACUGCAUCGCUGGAGUGCGGCAGAGGGGGAUGGAAUUCCGCGUGUAGCAGUGAAAUGCGUAGAUAUGCGGAGGAACACCGAUGGCGAAGGCAAUCCCUGGGCCUGCACUGACGCUCAUGCACGAAAGCGUGGGGAGCGAAACAAGG
rnacentral:rRNA from 1 species